UUAUGGGAAAUGCACAAACUGGUGUGA
rnacentral:piRNA from 1 species